GGGGCUCGGGCGUGAGCAAAAGCUGCCGAGCGUCUUAAGGCCUGGCCUCAGAAGUCACCUCGUGUCACCUCUGCUGCGUUGUGAGGGUCGAAGCACGUCACCGAGCCCAGCCACAGCCAAGGAGUCGGGAGAUAGGACACGUUGGUUUAGUUGGAGUGGUGCAGUCACGCUGUGGAAGGCCGUGUGCCCCAGGAUGGGGUGGGGGGGGGCCUUGAAACUGUAUUUUACCCUCCACCGAAGUACAGGUCUCCUCCAGUCUCUGGCCAAGGGCUUCCUUGAACCCUCUCCCCCAUGGCCAUGUCUUCCGUGCUCCUCGGCCACUCACGCCCGUGACCCUAACUCCCGGAUCUCACCGUCAGAGCAACCGCGGCCCCUCAUACCUUGGCUCCCGGCACCCCAGCCUCUGACCCCACUCCCACCUCUCCUGCCAUUCGGCACCAACAGGUCCUUGACCCCAGUGGGGCUGUGGGUAUGUCAAUUUUCUACAGACCGUCAGCCUCCUUAUACUGCCCACCAGCCUGACCCCACGGGCCAUUGCUCCGGUCUCCGUCCCCCACCCUCUUACCUCCACCCUCAGCUCUCAGGCUCUUUUCUGACCUCGUGGUGUCCACCCAGCAAAAUCCGGCCUCGGGCACAGCCAGCCCCACGCCCGCACCCACGAAGUUGAAUGCGGCUGGAGGGAACCCCGCAGGCGUCCUGCGAGAACUGAGUUGUAACCCACCGUCGGAAGGCGGGGAGGAACGAAGAGGCGAUAACAACCCUUCAGACCUUAGAUCUGAGCCGUGGACGGAUCUUAGGCGUGCGGACCUCUCCCCUCCUCCUUCUAGUCCGAGAGCCGAAUCCGGGCACUGGCUCGCGCUGGCUCUUCCCUCCCACUGCAUUCACCACAUGUCCACGAAGUACCCCCGAUCUUGGUCGCGCACUGGGCAGUUACGGGGCUCAGCGGAGCUAGGCAGGGCCCGGAACCAGCGCGAACUCCAGGGGUGGUCUGGGGGCUGGCCGCACCCGCAUCACGUGGGAGCUUGUUGAGCAGAAAGGUUCUCAGCGCCUCACCCCGGACCUGCAGAAUCAGAAUCCCCGGGGGCGGGUGUCGGACCCGGAAGCUGUGUUUGGGGCAAGCCCUCUGGUGCCUCUUAUUUAUGCUGGAGUUUGAGGAUCGUGUCGAGACACUUGCCGAUUAGUGUGUGACACCAAGACCCGGGCGCUCGUCCAAAACGGCAGGCCCUGGGACCUCACCGCGGGCCCCCUGAAAGAAAAACUGCGUUUUCACUGGGCUCCCCCCAGGGAUCUGUCACGGGCCCAGGGGCUGGAGGUGGCCGAAGGACGCGUCCCAGGGCGUAGACGCUCAGGAAGCCUUGGGUGACUGGUUGUCGCACAGAAGGAGCACCCUCGCCAGGCUGCCCAGAUAGGUUCCACUUCCCGGGCCCACGCUGAGGCUCAGCGGGGACGCCCUGGGGCCCGA
rnacentral:lncRNA from 1 species